GACGAACGCUGGCGGCGUGCUUAACACAUGCAAGUCGAACGGAAAGGCCCUGCUUUUGUGGGGUGCUCGAGUGGCGAACGGGUGAGUAACACGUGAGUAACCUGCCCUUAACUUUGGGAUAACUUCAGGAAACUGGGGCUAAUACCGGAUAGGAGCUCCUGCUGCAUGGGGGGGGUUGGAAAGUUUCGGCGGUUGGGGAUGGACUCGCGGCUUAUCAGCUUGUUGGUGGGGUAGUGGCUUACCAAGGCUUUGACGGGUAGCCGGCCUGAGAGGGUGACCGGCCACAUUGGGACUGAGAUACGGCCCAGAAUCCUACGGGCGGCAGCAGUGGGGAAUAUUGCACAAUGGGCGGAAGCCAGAUGCAGCAACGCCGCGUGCGGGAUGACGGCCUUCGGGUUGUAAACCGCUUUCGCCUGUGACGAAGCGUGCGUGACGGUAAUGGGUAAAGAAGCACCGGCUAACUACGUG
rnacentral:rRNA from 1 species